rnacentral:rRNA from 1 species
UACGUAGGGCGCAAGCGUUGUCCGGAAUUAUUGGGCGUAAAGAGCUCGUAGGCGGUUUGUCGCGUCUGCUGUGAAACCCGAGGCUCAACCUCGGACCUGCAGUGGUACGGGCAGACUAGAGUGCGGUAGGGAGAAUGGAAUUCCUGGUGUAAGCGGUGGAAUGCGCAGAGUAUCAGGAGGAACACCGAUGGCGGAAAGGCAGUUCUCGUGGGCCGUAACUGACGCUGAGGAGCGAAAGCGUGGGGAGCGAACAGGA